rnacentral:rRNA from 1 species
UACGAAGGGGGCUAGCGUUGCUCGGAAUCACUGGGCGUAAAGCGCACGUAGGCGGCUUUCUAAGUCAGGGGUGAAAUCCUGGAGCUCAACUCCAGAACUGCCUUUGAUACUGGAAAGCUCGAGUCCGGGAGAGGUGAGUGGAACUCCGAGUGUAGAGGUGAAAUUCGUAGAUAUUCGCAAGAACACCAGUGGCGAAGGCGGCUCACUGGCCCGGUACUGACGCUGAGGUGCGAAAGCGUGGGGAGCGAACAGG